CAGUUAGGUUUGAAUUUUAGAUUAAUAAUGAAUAAUGUUUUUUAGUGUAAGUAUAUCCUAUGUAAUAUUUGGGACAUACUCAUACUAAAAUAUUUUUCUUUUUGAAUCUAAUACAGA
rnacentral:miRNA from 1 species